rnacentral:rRNA from 1 species
UACGUAGGGGGCAAGCGUUGUCCGGAAUCAUUGGGCGUAAAGAGCGUGUAGGCGGCUUGGUAAGUCCGCUGUGAAAGUCCAGGGCUCAACCCUGGAAUGCCGGUGGAAACUGUCAAGCUUGAGUCCGGAAGAGGCGAGUGGAAUUCCUGGUGUAGCGGUGGAAUGCGCAGAUAUCAGGAGGAACACCAAUAGCGAAGGCAGCUCGCUGGGACGUUACUGACACUGAGGCGCGAAAGCGUGGGGAGCAAACAGG